GUAAGACUCGGGGCAAGGGAUAGGAACAGAGACAAGGCAUGGAGAACCCCUCUUAGCUACUCCAUAUUACAAGGGCCUGACCUUCAUUUUGUUCCUCUAUCCCCAAAUCAGGACCAGCUGUUUUUCUUUCUCUAGCCAUUGCAAAUAAUUUAAAUCACCGAAUCCUGGAACCAAGAUGGUAGCAGUGGGAUGCAUUCAAGCUAGCUGGCCCAAGGAGCGGGGAGGGGAGCUGCUUGAAAAAGGUGUUUAGCCCAGGCCCCAGCUGGACUGGGAAGGAACCAAGGCUAAGCAGCCACGUGUACUGGAGCUAAAAGUCAGUGGGCACCAGGUUCUAUUGAGUCUACAGAGACCUACACCUUCACUCACUGUUUUGGGUCUUUGCCUUGCAUAUGGUCUCAGGCAGGGGGGAGAGGGCUAUUGAACCAUGAGACAGGGAGUGAGCAGGGCAAGUCGGUGGCUGCUCAGGCAGAGUCUUGGUUUCCUCACAGACGUGUGAUCGUUUUGAGGUGCAUUAAGUGAUCCCAGCAGGACAGUGUCCGAGGGACGCUGGGCUGAGAGGGUUCUCACUUGUUUGCUACCUAGCAUCUGAACUGAGGGCGAUUUGAAGCACGGAACACCCACAGCAUUUACUGUGCAAUCCUCCGAGACCUCAUCACUAUGUCUCAGCGUGACCAGGACCAGUAUGUGCCAGGAACUGAUUACUUGUGCCACCCGUCUCUCCACGUGGCUGUGCUGGAAAGUGGACUGUCAGCGCAGUUUCUCGCUUGGCAAUACAAAAUGGCAGCUUAUUUCAGUUUCUGCUCUUGGCACAGGAGUCAGGAGUGGCUUUGCUUCCUGUAGGCCGGCAAGGGCUACACUCUUCCAGCAGGGCUGCGAGCUGCCACUGUGCCCAAGCCAAUGCCGCAGGAGGCCUCAAGAUAUCUUUAAAGCAGCCUGUCCUGCUUUGUGAUGGAUGUAUGCAGAUGCACAUGUUGCACACUGUCAGGGUGUGUGUGUGUGUGUGUGUGUGUGUGUGUGUGUGUGUGUGUGUGAUGUGAAAACAAAUCCGUGUCUGUAUAACUAACCCCAGGGUGUGCACGCAUGGGGGUGAUGUUUGUGGUGUUAGACAGAUAUCCUUACAAUACCUGAAGAAUCGAGAAUAUCUUGCUGCCAGCCGCACAGUAAGAUCUGAAUGUGCUCCCCGUGAUGUGCAUUGGAGUCAUUUGUCAGGAAGUGUGUUGUGUUGCGGGAGGGGUAGUGAAUAAUAGUGCUGUUGUUCACCGUUUUGAUGUCCAUUUAACGGAGAACAAGAGCUGAAUUCUGAUCUCACUCUGCGUUUACACUAGUGUAUCUCCAUUGACUUGACUGGAGUUACUCCAGGCUUAUACCAGUCUGUGUGAGAACAGGUUUCCAGGGGUUCAGUAACCAGGUGCAACACCCAUUGAUUUUGGUGAACUUACACUUGCUUAUACCAGGUCUGUGUUGCCACAUCUCUGCUUACAUGGUCUCCUGACAAUCUUACAUUCUUGGGUAGAGGGCCUGUGUCUGAGCAUCUCUCAAACUGGACUGCCAAAAUUGCUGGGCACAGGGAGUGCUGUAGGCAGAAAGCAUGUAGAUGCAUGGGGAGGAUCAGGAAAGACAUGUAUAUAAAAAUCUUCUCUACAACAAAUGCUUUGCUGUGUAGUAUUUAAUGGCACCUCAUUUGUUCUGACUUUUUUUUGUGUUUUUAAAAACAAACGCACAAAAGCCCUCUAAUGUAAAAUCAAUAUGGAUUUUACUCUCUGGUCACUUAUGAGAAGUGAAACCUGCUCUUUUCAGAAACACUUGCUUCUGAGGAAACAGAUGAAAACCUAUUUUUUUUAUUCCUUGAUUUGCGAAAUAUAGCAUUUUCCAUGCCCGAUUGCACCAAUGCUCAAUUGAAACUAGUUCCCUCCCAUAGUGACUUAUGCCAGAAACUUCAGGGAAAGAUAAAACCCCUAUAAAAUGCCCUGUCGUGCAGGGUCCUUAUUUGGGGUGGGGGGGGAAGAGUUUGUGUGGUUUUAGAGUCUCAGAUGCUGAGCACAAGGCUCCCACAGCUAACACCACCCAAGACUGUCACUUGCAAGCUGUGGCGUUAUAGUUGAGAAACUUGUCCUUGCUGUAACAUUUGCAGUAUUGCAGCAAAAAGCUGAACUGUUGCAAUGCACCGUGCCAUCACAACGUGGUGGUGGUGGUGUAUUUCUGCAAGUUUUUGAAUGGCCUGUCAUCCUAGCUUGUGGACUUGUUCACCCCUUACCUCUCCAAAAAGGCAGCAGUAAGCGUCAUGCUCACUGGUCCAUCCAAAAGUAGCAUACACUGUAUUCGUAAAGGAGGAAGCAUUAAUUGCUUCAUGAAAAGUGAAGUUUGUGUGUGUGUGUGUGUGUGUGUGUGUGUGUGUGUGUGUGUGUGUGUGUAUAAACUAGAGAUGUGCAAGUCUUUUUUUGCAUUAAAAAAUUAGCUAAAUUCUGUUCUCGCUUAAACCUGUAUAAAUUCAGAAUACCUCAGCUGACUUCAUUACUGCGGAUUUACACCUGCAUAAUCUAGAGCGGAGUUUAGAACUGUGUAUGUGUGCUCUCCAAGACUCUUGAAAAUCCGUGUAUUUAAAGGGACACUAUAAACUUCAAAAUCACAUUGUCAUCUGGAAAUGUUGUACUUACUACUGUUACUCGUCACCUUCACGGUGACCUAUAACUGACAAGUGAUUUGUCAGCACUUCGUGUGCAGUCGGUUUCGCUGUUUUGUGGGUGGUCAGUUGUCACAUGCAGGGUUUUGGAGGGAAUUCACUGUGCGUGUUUUUCUCGGUGCUCUGCAAGAGGGUGAGUGCACGGUGAAGCAGAGGAGGGGUGGUCUUCACAGGAAGACUGGGAGUCAGGAUUGAGUUCCCAUUUCCACUGUUGACUUGCUUUUUAUUAUCUUGAAUCACUUCCCUGUUCGGUGACUCUAUUUACCCAUCUCUCAGACUGGUAUAGUGCCUCACAGGGAAGGUUGUGAAGUUUAAAUUCACUAAUGUUUCAAAAGUGCUGAUGGUAAAUACAAAGCAUUGAAGACUCAUUACAGCUGAGAAAGCAGUGAUGGCCUUGGUAUGUAAGGCAGUGUGCCCCCAAACUAAACUGUGGUUUGGCAAGGUAGAUACACACACACUCACUCACUCACUCUCUGUUUCACUUUUGUGGUAGGAAAACAGAUCCCUGUAUGGAAGUAUUAGUGUCCAGGGAAUGAUCAUAAAGCCUUAUUCUGCUCUCCGAGAAAGGGGCUUGAGGCAGUUAGAUUUGGAUGAGAGCUGGGAAAGCUAGGAAGUGAGUUCAGUUUUUCCUUGCCCUCUCCGCAAGAUACACUCCAUGCGGAGAACAUUCUUCAUCGGUUUGUUCUUCUGUCCCUAUCAGUGAUCCUUUCAGAGAUGUUUUUUUCCCCCUCUUGUGUUUUAACCUAGUAGACUCCUCAAUGCCGGAGUCUCUGUUCCUUGUCUUUUUGUAUGGCAAUACGUAUCUCACCCAGUUUUGUUGGGUAACCUCAGGACACGUGCAAUUGAGAGGUCAUCCCCAACCCAAAUCCUAAGGGCUCUGGGAGUUUGCUAAAUGCAUGGCUUAGAACUUUAAGUAGGGAGAGGGAGGGGGGAGAAAGGGGAGCAGGAUGUGGGUUGGUCUGAGUCUUGGGGAUUCAGAUGUUGCAAGCAUGCUUUUUGUUGAUGAGUUUAAAAAAAUUUUUUUUUAAAUCCUUAAAGUAGAGUGUUCUUAUAACUUCCAAGUAAUGAGGGGCUGGUUGCCAGCUGUUUGCUUCGGGACUGAGUCUAAGAGCUGAUGAACACUGGCAACUUCUACGGAGGUCAGGUGGCCUUCAGCUCUCAGGAUUUGGUCCUUUAGCUACCAGUGCGUUGCACAAUGCAGUGAAAUAUCUCCCAAAUGGUUGGAAAUGAUGGGGAGGUGUGGAAUGAGGGACGGGAUGUCGCAUGGCUGCCACGGUGUCUAGGCAAGCCUGUUUGUGUGAAGGAGCUGGGAAACCACGCCCCUUUCGCUUCCUGGUGGGCCCAGGAAUCUCCUUGAUCCUCCUUUCAUUCCAGAAAGAGCAAGACUUGGAGCUGAAAUCUGAAAAGUGCCACCAUGCAACCCAAUUUACCUCUGGGUGUAAACAAGAGGAGGAGAGUUUGGCCCAAGAUUUUGAGUGACCAAAACCAAGGUCUCUCUCAACAAAGCAGGAGGGCUUUUUUUCCAUUCCUCUUGAGGUCACAGGAUAAAACUCCCUUGAGGAGUAAACAGACCUGUAGGGGCUAUACAUCUCCCUUGGAGAAGUUGAUCCUGGGGCCUGAAACUGCAAGUAUGUCCCCUGUUGUUUCUGAAACACCAGGCGACAAUGAAACCGUCUUGACACUGUAUGACCCCAUAAAUACGUGAUCUUUGUGUAUUGAAAAUGGCAUUGUAUAUACAACUAUAUAAAUAUAUAUUUACUUUCUAUUUUAAAGGGGGAGGGAAAUAAAUAAAAAGUAUUUAAAAGAAAGUACUUUAUUAAUAUGCAUCCAAAAUGUCCAGGAGGCUAGAGAGAGAGGCUGUCGGAGGUGGAGAGAAUCUAACCACAGGAGCAGAGCUAGUAUUUUUGAAUUGUGUUGCAUUUAGAGUUCUCCACUUCUUCAUCCAUAUAUAAAUAUAGACAAAUAUAUAUAGUAAAUCACAUAGUUUGCUUUAUUUUUGUACCUAUGCUUAGCUCCAUUUUGAGCAACACAGUAUCUUAGGGUGAUCGUGGGCUUUGUGAUACAACAGAUCUUCUGCGUGGCCCAAACAAAAUGUCCCAGCUGAAGAUGUCCUCUGGAUCAGAUUAAGAAAUCCAAGUCCUUAACACCGCUUGCAAAUUACCAUCCGAGGGGGAUGGCUGUGUUUUCACCACCCAGCCGGGCAGCCUCUGCAUUGGAUGAGCUGGCUCCGGAAUGACCUGAGAGGAAGGUUGGAUUUGGUAAUGUUGAAGCUGAUACUGUUCUGCGGAUCUGUUCUGGGCCCCUUCUGAGUUUCUCCAGUGUUAGUAGGUUCUAGAAGGGGCACACCAUUACCUCGUUAUGGUUUCCAUUGGUUACCAAGCCUUGUAGGCCCUCUGUCUUUUAAGAAUGUGUGUUGCCUUUACAAAACCUGCAGAGAACUCAGCGUCUAAUAACAGGACGGAUUGGGGCUGAGGGCAGCUCACACAGAUAUUUUGUUCAGCACGUUGGAAUGGAGCAGCUCUCAGCAGCUAUAGACUUUGUCCACUGGAGGCCUCCCGUUUUCAGGGGAUCCUUAGUGGAAGCAAGGCUUUAAUUUUUGUAAGCUUGGGAAGGCCAUGGAGUCGUCUGAUGUUUGCAGAGAGUCCCCCAUGAGACCUCUAGACAGGUCAGUUGGGGGCAUGUUGUCUUUAGGUUUCACCCGUAUCAUGGAAUUCAGUUGCCCACUGUAGCAGGGCAUCCUCUGUCUAGGUACUUGUAUACCUGUUCUAAAAGGAUCGUAGACUUUGAAGCCUCAGUGGGUGUCCUCUGGGACUGUCUUUGCCUGUCCCUCUCAACAGGCAGUCCAAAGCCAAGGUGUCCUGUCUGUGGUACAAGCAGAGAGAGUUUUAGAGGUGUAGUUUUAGCUCACCACAAUUCCUCUUGGCCUGCAGGGUGAAUUCCAUGAAAUAACACGCAAUUCCUGAACGAAAACAAAACCCCACUCGCUUCCCAUUGAAGUUUUAAAGGGGCAGGACUGAUAACUGCGCUGCAAGUGCAAUGGAGUCUACUACUGAAGUUCUUCUCAAUUUUCUUCAAAGCAAUAUUAAACCAAACAAAAAACAUGACUUAGAAUUUGGGCGAGAGAGAGAGGGGGCGGAUCAAGCCUGAAGGUAAUUUCUGAAUGACGUGAAAGAAUCUCUUUUUAAACUUAAGGCAAGGAUCCUCACUCUGGGUUUCCACUGCAAGUUCCCGUUGCUGCCCCACCCCCAUGGCAUGGACAUAGAUUGCACAGGCAGAGAAGAGCAGAAGAUGGAACUGAAAUCUGCAGUGUAGUUCAGAAAGAAGUUUUCACAAUCCUGAGGGAUUAUCUGUUUGACAGGUGAGCCAAACCAAUGGUGGUUCCGUUGAGGCUAGCAGCAACACGCCUGGUCUUCGCUAAGACCAGGGAUUGGCUCAAGACCUUGAGACAUGUGUGGCCUGCCUGCAGGAAUGAGCAGUAGGAAGUCCUGAGUUCUAAUCCUGACUCUGACACUAGUUUCCCAGAGUGCCUUUGGGCUUGUAUGGUGGAAACCAACCUUACCUGCUUACCUUGUAAGGUUGAGGAUUAAUGAGUUAAUGUUUGUGCAGAGCUUUGAAGCUGGAAUCUUGACCUUGAGUAAGUUCUAAGUAUUAUUAUUAUUGUGGACUUGAGGCUUCCAGCUUUUGGCUUACUCUACCUCUUAUUCUGUUCCUCUCUUUGGGCAUCUGACUCUGCACCACUGGAGUCAGUGGGAGCAGGAGCCGGCCCUAAAUGAAUACUGGGGAGGCAUUUGCCACUGUUCCCAUUAUGCUCUGAGGUCGGUGGCUUGGUGAGAACCCCCAGCCGCUCCAGUCUGCAUUUUCUUUGGAAUUGUUGUCUGACUUUGACAAAGGGAGGGCUGAGCUGGUGGCCAGAUACUAGGCAAAGGGCCUUGCCCUUCUCUUGGAAAAAGCAAAAGUGUGGCUCCGAGAUGUGGUAGCAUGGACAGGAUUUCUGGGCCUACCUAACAUGGGCUCUGGCUGUGCUCCUCCCCUUGUGGGCCCUGUAGCCUGACGCUCUCUCGCUGAAAGGUGUUCGGACUCCCUUUGUGGCCACGUAAUUCCCACAGCUGAGUCCAUGUAGAACUGUAAAUGUUUGGUCUCUUUCUAUUGGAUUUUGGUCAGUGUGUUUUCUUAGUGGGUGACUUUCUCCCCACUCCGCAGAGAAACCAGGCCAGCCAUGAGUUCACGAGUAUGAUCUAAAACGUGAAAGAGGCGAUGAAAACUCCCAUCCUCUUGCCUCUCUCAGGAUGGGUCUCUUCACAGAAACUGCUCUGCCAGUGGGACAGGCAAGUUGCCUAGGGCAGUGGAAUUCUUAUGUAUUUUUUGUGAUGUUGACCAUGUGGCUAUGAGGGGCAUGCAAGCUCCAGAUGUCAUACUGAUAUGUGCUCAUGCAGGUUAGAGAGCCUUUUCUGCCCACACUGCUUCAGUUACUUGUCAUGAGGCAUUCUGGGCUCCAGCUUUGAGAGCCCAGCCAGCAAUAGUUUGGCUGACCUGAAAAGCAAUGGAUUGUGGUUAGAGGCGCAAUUUGUGUCCUCCCCAAAUCCUGCUUGGCUUCAGAGGAGCAGCCACUGGUGGUGGGGCAGGGAGGGAUGCAUGCUUGAGGGAAACAUAAUCACCCUUCUCCUCCAUACUAAAAACUCCUAGCAGUCUUCUCUUUUACAUAUGGCUUCCCAGCUAGGGGAAGGGAAAGAUAAGGAGGAAAGAGCAAUGAUGUAAAAAACCGCGAAAUAGACCUCAAAUCUCUUCCAUCCCCUUCCCUCCUCCAAAGGGGCUGUACAUCAAGCAAGUAACCGGGCAAAGAGUAAGAUAUCCACUGGAGGUGGCCUAAGGGAAAUCUCCAUAUAGAGCAGGCUCCAGUCUCUUUCUCAAGAUCUUAUCUUGGAAAAUCUCUUUAGUCCCCAAGAAGGCACUGCAACAUGGUGGGGCGGUAUCAUGAACCAGCCCAGUAAGCUCUACUGCGCUGCAAUCACCAACUCUUCCAAAAUGAGCGCAGCACACCAAGCUGUGUAUCAGCGUGACCCCAACCAGCAAAAGCAUGAAUGUAACCCGUUCAGGAGGGAUAGGGACACUAGGAGCUCAAGUCCUUCGAAACCGUGCAAUUUCUUUCUUCAUUGUCACCUGUUACGUUUCUUGAUCUUUUUAUAUAUAUAUAUAUAAAAUAAAUAAAGAAGUGUUUCCAAUUACAAACCAAGAUUUGUUCAGCACCAGUUGCUAAGAGAGCAAAGAAAAGCAUGUUAGAUGGCACCGCUAGGUUGCAUUGAUUAGCAGUAAAUAUGUGAAAGACUAAACAGUAAGAAGGACAAGGACUUCCCCAGUCACCUUGUUCUCUUGUAUUCAGGAUGGGUGGCUUAGCAUGCACUUUGAGCUUGAGACACUCAAAUUGUGGUGGUUUUUGUUGGGGGCAGGGGUGUUAGCAACUUUCUUGUUUCCCCCAUCCCCCUCUACCCUAGAAAUCACUUACAGGAAAAAAAAAAAGAGAGAGAGAAAAAAUAAUGGCAAAAAGACGUUUAUAAAGCACACUUUCUAUUAACCCUCUUGAUGCCAAAUGCAAACCAACGACGCCUCGUUUCCACCCCGAUGCUCUAGGGUUUAGGGAGUCAUCUCGGAGACGAGCAUCUGUCCACUUUCUUUUUUACACACAAGCCCCAGUGUCCAUCCGUCCACCUGUCGUACCCACUUCAGAUGUUGCGCAUGCUUUUGUCGCGCUUCUUGCAGGAUGAAGCGUUUGGGGGAUUUGCUUUAAAUGGAUGUUCUGGGAACUUGAGGAUUUUUUUAAAACCUUAAAAGGACAAAUAAGAGGGAGGGGGAGCGAACGCAGUCAAAAAGGCGUUUCAGUAAGGGCCUCGCUUCUGGUGCCCCCAGUGAGCCUACAUGUAAGCCCCCUAUAGGAUCAGAAGUAAGGGAGGGUGAGUUUACAGCUUUUCCUGAGCACUCCUUUGACUUCCAUCUACCAUGUGGCUGCUUAUUUGGAGUGCUUCAUCCAUCCUCCUGCCCAGACGCACUUAAAGGGCCAAUCUUACUUUUCAGGUCCCAGUCCCACUCCUGCUACUGCCCAGUGGUUUUCACAAAGGCCAGUGCAAGGCAUGAGGGCUGCUGACUGCAGAAUGGAUCUGGACAGGCUAAUGAUCUUGGGGAUGCCUUUUUUCCCCUUCAGUUUGUUUCCUCUAUGGGCUUCGCAUACACGUACUCCCUUCUCCGCCAUGGUCAAUAACUACAUCGGCUUCUUUUUAGAACCAUCCUGCUCUGGGGCAAGGUUGGAGUGCCCAGCACUCUUAGUCUCAAAAUUUAAAAAAAGACAACUUAAGACUUUCUGUACAACUGUGGACUUUCUGUUUGGAUUUCUCUUGUGGGAAAGCCCUACAGAAUUUUAAUAACAAAUGAUCACCUUUCUAUUGGUCUCUUGAGUCAUCCUAUGGAGUUUAAUAGAAAAUUAUAUCCCUAUAGAAUUCUGUAGGAUAGUUUGAAACUCCUAUAUUCAGCUUAUCAUUUUCUAUUCAACGUGAUACGUUUUUUAGUCUGUGGAACCUUGUUAAAUUUCCAUAGACCCCUAUUGGUUUAAUUCCCUGUUAAACCGGUAGGAUUUUCUUUAGAACGCCAAGUGAUCUUCUGUUGUUUAGGGUCUUUUUUAUUUCCUUUUUUUUUUAAAAACCUUGCCUAUAUUUAAAAAUGACUUUAACCCUUGAAGAGACCAUUCAACCUCGUUUCCAUUUCUUGAAUGUCGAGUAUUACAAUGUAUAACACACAUUAGGGUGCUCUUUGGUGCUGUUUAAAUGGUAGCCAGUGGAACUGACUUUUUUAAUAAUAGUAAUAAAAGAAACAUUAGUCCCACUGGUUCCUUAAUGUUCGUCGUUGUGGUUUUCUUUCUUUUUUUAAUAACGGUUAGUGCUCUGAACUGUGAUAUUGGUUACUGACAUGUGCACGUCAAACUCUUAGUCGCUCUGUCCGUGUAACGACAGUGCCGGCGGCUACUGCAAGUGGGGGUGGCUGUGUAAUAAUUUGACAAUAGUUUGACUCUUUGUUUUCAGUGUGUUUUUAAAUUGCACAGAUGCACACAGCAAAAAUAUUCGACCUGAACCCGAAUGGCAACUAGAGGGUUAAUUUUUAACUUCAGGUAUGUUAUUCAAGAGAAUAAAAUUAAAAAAAAAAAAAAAAAAAGGAGAAACAGAA